rnacentral:rRNA from 1 species
CCUACGGGAGGCAGCAGUGGGGAAUUUUGCGCAAUGGGGGAAACCCUGACGCAGCAACGCCGCGUGAGUGAUGAAGGCCUUCGGGUCGUAAAGCUCUGUCAGAGGGAAAGAAAUGUGUGCGGCUAAUAUCCGUUGCACUUGACGGUACCCUCAAAGGAAGCACCGGCUAACUCCGUGCCAGCAGCCGCGGUAAU